GUCGGCGGCCGCCGCCUCGUCCCCGCCGCAAACCAACUCGAAUUGUUCUUCUGCCAUGGAAGCACGAGGAUGCCGUGAAGUGAAUCUCGACGCAGCCAGUAAGGCAGACUGAGCCGACAAACAUGUGAUGUCAGUUCUUAGGGAAGAGCUGAAUGUGAAAGCCAUCUGGGAAGCUCAGUCCUGGGGUACGCAUUAUGUUACCUCCUUUUACCGUCUUCCAUCUGAAAUGACGAAACUCAAGGCAGUGGAUGAAGGUCGCCAUCAGGACCUUGCUGAGGUCGGUUCCGACACAGAACCGGAGACCCCCGCCGAACGCCAUGAAAUGCUUUGUUCCACCGGUGAUUUCCAUCUUAUCCUGCAGCCCAAGUAAAACCCGGAAGUGUUAUUUCUUC